CCGAGGCAUCGUCUUUCUCAAAGCAACAUCAAGGUCAUAUCACAUCCUGACUCAAAAUGGGGCCGUCUGUACUCGUCAUGUUGCUUCUUCUAGUCACUGGCUUACUCUGCAGCUGCUACGCUAAAAAAGCUGAAGAUGACAAUGUAAUCACCAGAGUUCGGAGAUGUGCGCUACUUCCACCAGCACUCCCGGCCUCAAAACCUUCGGAACCCUCCAGUUCUGCAAGGUCCUCGCUUGCUGAAUUAUUGGCCUCGUCGGGUUGCCCAGCGAAUCCUCUAAGCUGUUUGCUGUACUGCGCGCUGUUCUCACAGAAAAAGGGCAGCUGCCAAGGAAAAAAUAACGCGGACUGCAGAUGUCAAUAAAACGUGUCAUUUG